UUCAAUAUUCAGGCCCAACACCAAGGUCCCGACGAAGGCUGUCGUUAUCUUCCCAGGCCUCAUGAACGGCCUCCUCUAGUUCUUCCACGCGGACCUCCAAGUCUAUGAUUCGCUCCCUCUGUUGACGAAUCUUCUCCUUCCGCUUCGCCAAUUUCUCUACCAAAUCUUUGCAUAACAGCUCUUUCACGAUCUUCAAGACACCGCCUGGAGUUUCGACCAU
rnacentral:lncRNA from 1 species